rnacentral:rRNA from 1 species
GGAGUCUAGCAUGUACGCGAGUCAUUGGGUGUGACUAAACCUAAAGGCGAAGUAAAAGCAAAGGUAUCGUAAGGUACUUAGAUGUGAUCCUGGUUGUCUUCUGACUCUGGGCGCAACAUCGGCCCGUCUAAUGAUAUUUUUAUCUGGGCGGAGCUAUAGCGUACAUGCUGAAACCCGAAAGAUGGUGAACUAUGCUUGUGCAGGUUGAAGUCAGAGGAAACUCUGAUGGAGGACCGCAGCGAUUCUGACGUGCAAAUCGAUCGUCAGACAUGAGUAUAGGGGCGAAAGACUAAUCGAACCAUCUAGUAGCUGGUUCCCUCCGAAGUUUCCCUCAGGAUAGCUGGCAUACUUCAUAAACAGUUUUAUCCGGUAAAGCGAAUGAUUAGAGGUAUUGGUGACGAAAUGUUGUCAACCUAUUCUCAAACUUUAAAUGGGUGAGAAGCUGAUCUCUCUUAAUUGGAGAGCGGCAUUGAAUGUGUGUGCCAAGUGGGCCACUUUUGGUAAGCAGAACUGGCGCUGUGGGAUGAACCAAACGUUCAGUUAAGGUGCCUAACAUAUCGCGUAUCAGAUCCCACACAAGGUGUUGGUUGAUAUAGACAGCAGGACGGUGGCCAUGGAAGUUGGAAUCCGCUAAGGAGUGUGUAACAACUCACCUGCCGAAUCAACCAGCCCUGUAAAUGGAUGGCGCUUAGCGAUAGACCUAUACUGGACCCAUGAUGUCAAGCACAAGGAUACAUCAUGGAGUAGGAGGGUCUCCGUGGUGAGCGUUGAAGCUUAGUCUGUGAAGGCUGGUGGAGCGUCCACGGGUGCAGAUCUUGGUGGUAGUA